rnacentral:rRNA from 1 species
AGUGAACGCUGGCGGCACGCCUAACACAUGCAAGUCGAGCGAGAAACUAAACUUCGGUUUAGCGGAAAGCGGCGGACGGGUGAGUAACGCGUGGGAAUUUACCAAAGAGUGGGGAACAACUGCUGGAAACGGCAGCUAAUACCGCAUACGCCCUACGGGGGAAAGGCUUCGGCCGCUCUUUGAGAAGCCCGCGUACGAUUAGUUUGUUGGUGAGGUAAUGGCUUACCAAGACUACAAUCGUUAGCUGGUCUGAGAGGACGAUCAGCCACACUGGGACUGAGACACGGCCCAGACUCCUACGGGAGGCAGCAGUGGGGAAUAUUGGACAAUGGGCGAAAGCCUGAUCCAGCGAUGCCGCGUGAGUGAAGAAGGCCCUAGGGUUGUAAAGCUCUUUCGGUGGGGAAGAUAAUGACGGUACCCACAAAAGAAGCCCCGGCUAACUCCG